rnacentral:rRNA from 1 species
AUUGAACGCUGGCGGCAUGCCUUACACAUGCAAGUCGAACGGUAACAGGUCUUCGGAUGCUGACGAGUGGCGAACGGGUGAGUAAUACAUCGGAACGUGCCCGAGAGUGGGGGAUAACGAAGCGAAAGCUUUGCUAAUACCGCAUACGAUCUCAGGAUGAAAGCAGGGGACCGCAAGGCCUUGCGCUCACGGAGCGGCCGAUGGCAGAUUAGGGAGUUGGUGGGAUAAAAGCUUACCAAGCCGACGAUCUGUAGCUGGUCUGAGAGGAGGACCAGCCACACUGGGACUGGGACACGGCCCAGACUCCUACGGGAGGCAGCAGUGGGGAAUUUUGGACAAUGGGCGCAAGCCUGAUCCAGCCAUGCCGCGUGCAGGAUGAAGGCCUUCGGGUUGUAAACUGCUUUUGUACGGAACGAAAAGACUCCUUCUAAUAAAGGGGGUCCAUGACGGUACCGUAAGGAUAAGCACCGGCUAACUACGUGCCAGCCGCCGCCGUAACAC